CUCGUCCAAACCAAAAUUCCCAUCAUCUUAAAUGCUCUACCACCAGCUAGCUUUUUGCUCGGUGGGCAUGUCGAAUUCGGUAACUUAAAAGUUUACCUUACAGAGCAGGGGAGGUUGAGACCCACCUUGUCCAUCUCCUGACAUUCCAUCUGCUCCCCAACCCUGUUGGCAAGGACACACUCCCUUCCGCUGUGACGGAACAAAAAACAUAAAAUUAGGGUGGUUGGGAGGGAAGUUGUUUGCUGGCCAGAAUCCCAAAAGGCACUGAGGUAAGAUGAUCCCUGCCCCACUACAAACCCA